UACGUAGGGUGCGAGCGUUGUCCGGAAUUAUUGGGCGUAAAGAGCUUGUAGGCGGUCUGUCGCGUCUGCUGUGAAAAUCCGGGGCUCAACCCCGGACUUGCAGUGGGUACGGGCAGACUAGAGUGUGGUAGGGGAGACUGGAAUUCCUGGUGAUAGCGGUGAAAUGCGCAGAUAUCAGGAGGAACACCGAUGGCGAAGGCAGGUCUCUGGGCCACUACUGACGCUG
rnacentral:rRNA from 1 species